AAGUCUAUUAAUUAAAAAAAUAAUAAAGCCUGCUAUCCGGGCCACGCCCACCUGGGUUCUGUGCCGCGUGUGGGGCGGGCUGCAGAGUUGUUUCUUCAGCUCUGGGGGAGGGUGACGUGGAGCCGCCAAGGCGCUGCCCAGCGACACCUGAGACUCUGGCGCUGGCUCCCGCAGGCAUGGGCAGCUCCUGAGGGAGCCUCGCACCGUCCUGCUGAUGUCGAGGCCCGCCGGCCUGGCUGGGAUGGGGGGGCUGUUUGCUCCGCUGUCUUGUGAGGCUAGAAAGGGUGAGUUCUGCAUGUUUUGGAAGUGAGAGACGGGUGUGUCUAAAGCCUUCAGAGGAGAUUAGUCAGACUGGUGCCCUAUGCUGGCUCGGGCAGCAGCUGAGGCGAGGGUCUGAGUCAUCCUGGAGUGCCCUCAGCCCCACACCACUCCCUGUGCAGAAGCACUGCCCGGACAACGAAGAGAACGCUCUUCCUCGUGGCAGGGACUCUCCGACUCCCCCUGGGAGGGGUGACGCUGCCGCAUCUCACCUGGGGGGUCUGGACCCAGAGCUGGAAUCUUCGAGAGGGAUGUCGGGCUGGGCGUCUUGUGAUUCCCACAGGACAGGCCGUGCCUCCUGACUCUUGACCUAACGGGGGCGGCCAGGAACAAACAACGGAGCCGAAAGGCAGGUGGUUAGAACAGGAACCUCCUCGCCGACGGCGGAAACAAACCCGGUGCCGCAGUGUCGCUUCGCCUUGUGGGACCAGCCUCCCUGGCAGGCCCGCCCACCGCACACAGCCAGCCCCUGCGCCAGACUCAUUAUCACUGAGAAGUGCUGCCGUUUAGAAUGGGGACACUUCCUCCUUUUCGUGGUGUUUCCACCAGCGCUGACUCAACACCCCUGUGAGGCGGGCAGGACGGGGUCCUCUCGACGAGACAGCGGAGGCCUGGACGCACGGCCUUGUUCGUGUGCAGAGAUGGAGAGGAGGAAGGGCGGCCUCCUCGACCUCACCUUGAGGGGCCCCAUCCGCCCUGAACGCCGCCGCCGGGGCCCGCCUUCCUGGCCAUCCUGAGAUGGGGCCAUCCCCGAGGAGUCACAGAGGUCCCCUUCCUGCCACCACAAUCUUCAGCCCCCCGGUGCAAGCCACCUCUUAUGGGAAGCGAUGCAUGGCCACUCUGGUCCUCAGAAAUCCCCUUUUCCUUAGAAUUCAACAAAAAUUGGUCUUUGUCAUCUAUUUUCGAAAUAUAUAGACAUUUUUUUAUGUGGA